UACGUAGGGGGCAAGCGUUGUCCGGAUUUAUUGGGCGUAAAGGGCGCGUAGGCGGCUUCGCAAGUGGAAGGUGAAAUCCCUCGGCUUAACCGAGGAACUGCCAUCCAGACUGCUUGGCUUGAGACCGGGAGAGGUGAGUGGAAUUCCCAGUGUAGCGGUGAAAUGCGUAGAUAUUGGGAGGAACACCAGUGGCGAAGGCGGCUCACUGGACCGGUACUGACGCUGAGGCGCGAAAGCGUGGGGAGCAAACGGG
rnacentral:rRNA from 1 species